UGCUGUCAUUACUUUUGGCUACAUUGGGAUCAGCUGAGCUUGUCAGCUGGGUGGAUUAUUUUCCUUCUGCUGACGCCCAGGUCAUGUGUCUGCACUGCGGCGCUUUGAUUGGUCAAUCAUCGCCGUGGUGGCAGAUUUAAAGCCCAAGCGCUGUGUUAGGCGCUCCAGCUGAGACCAGACCUAAUUAAUGCAAGGAAAGGCUGCUGUAUGCACAGCUAUCUAGGUGGCUCUGCCUUUUCAUCUUUGGACUUUGUCCUAAUCAGAGCGGAUGCCGCUUUUUGAUCAGGUUAUUUGAGGGGAUGUGAGAGUGUCUUCCUUCCCCUUUAUCAUCUUUCAAUCCAUAUCUAUGGCAAACAUUAGACUGUUUCUACUGACAAUAGGCAUUUUUGCUUACUAUUGACAGAUUAAUUCUAUUAAUGGCUUAAAAUCCCGCUGUGGCUCUCCUGAACUAUUCUGUUUUCCCUGAUGACUCUGGUUCCUUCCUGUAUGGUCUGCUGUCUUUUGCUGUUUUACCUUUUUGCAUUGUAUGUCUGAAAGCUCCUGAAGAAAC